GCAGGUAUAGUAUAAUGGUUAAUAUGCCAGACUUCCAAUCUGGAUAUGAGAGUUCGAUUCUCUCUAUCUGCUCA
rnacentral:tRNA from 1 species